UCUUUCUAUUUUUUUUUGAAAUGGAGUCUUGCUCUGUUGCCCAGGCUGGAGUGCAGUGGCACACUCUUGGCUCACUGCAACCUCCACCUCCCGGGUUCAAGCGAUUCUCCCACUUCAGGCUCCCAAGUGGCUGGGAUUACAGGCACCCACCACCACACCCAGCUAAUUUUUGUACUUUUAGUAGAAAUGGGGUUUCGCCAUGUUGGCCAGGCUGGUCUCAAACUCCUGACCUCAGGUGAUCCACCCGCCUAGGCCUCCCAAAGUGUUGGGAUUACAGGCGUGAGCCACCACACCCUAGCCCUGAGUCUGUUUAUGCUUCUGUCAGGUGUGGCAUGGGCCUGCCUGGGAGCUAUUCUUUUUCUGUAAAGCACAGGCAGUUAAUCAGUGGUCUCUGGGAAGAAUCCAGCUCAGGGUUAUAUUUCGUUUGACCCACUCAAGUUUUAAAAAGUAAAUUAGUUGCCAAUGUGCAAACAUUAGAAGAGUUCACAGCUUCUCCAACAAUACCUAGAAGUUCAUCCGAUGGUGCCCGCAUUCCCUGCUCCAUCUGGAUGGUGCCCACAUUCCCUGCUCUGUCCAGACGGUGCCCACAUUCCCUGCUCUGUCUGGACGGUGCCCACAUUCCCUGCUCUGUCCAGAUGGUGCCCACAUUCCCUGCUCCAUCUGGACGGUGCCCACAUUCCCUCCUCUGUCUAGACAGUGCCCACAUUCCCUGCUCCGUCCGGACGGUGCCCACAUUCCCUGCUCUGUCUGGACGGUGCUCACAUUCCCUGCUCUGUCUAGACAGUGCCCACAUUCCCUGCUCCAUCCAGACGGUGCCCAUACUCCCUGCUCUGUCUAGAUGGUGUCCACAUUCCCUGCUCCGUCUAGACUGUGCCCAUAUUCGCUGCUGGCUGCAAAUGCGAGGAGUUGACAGCAGCCUCCCCUUUACAAGGCAGGAGGUGCCACUGUUCGCCAUUGUCUCCACCUAGGGCUUCACUUGCUUUCUAUCUGCAGACAUCAGAGGGACCCACAUCUCUCUGUUCUGACACGCUGUGUGUUGAUGGCAGAGUUUAAUUAUCCACAUGCAAUCUUACUUUCCUUAUUCCCAAGUCCGUGGGGCUGCCUCAUCAAAGCAUUGUAAGAACUGAUAACCAUCUUCUAGAAGUAUCAUAGUGAUAUUAAGAACACACAUCACAGAUCAUAGUAAAUGGCUUUAAUUUUUUAGCGAAAUCUCACUACUGCAA
rnacentral:lncRNA from 10 species